rnacentral:lncRNA from 14 species
UUUUUAUCCUCUUUUUUCUUUUUUGUUCUUUUUUUUUUUCCAGGAAUGUCCUCUAUUAUGUUCCCAGCAAUCUGGUGGCCAUCAACACCUUGCCGAUAAACUGGAAAUCUUCACCUUCUUCCAUCCUCACCUCUCAAAUGACCCAUGAAAGAGACUUGGAGAUCAAAGAAAUCCUCUUCCAUCCUUAUCCUUCGGACAGAGAGACUGAUGGGAUUUAGCACCCAUGUGGGAGUAUGAGCAUUGAUUUGAAGAACAAAGAAGCAUCAACCUUUUGUCUGCUGCUGUCAUCCCCUGCUUCACCAUUAAGGCUGAAACUUGACCUAAAAUCAGUGCAUUCCUACAUAUCAGCAACUGGUACCCAAAAGAGGCAAACUGGAAUGACAUUGUGAAGCAAUUGGUUACAGCAGAGUCAUCUGCUUGAAAGGAGUGAGAAUAGCUCUUGCUAGGCAAUGUGCAGAGCAUGGCAACUCUCACUGCUGCUAAUGGGAGAAGAGGCUCCCGAGCUCCUUUCAGGAAUGUACUGUUUUAAUUUCUAAUGGAGUUAUUUGUUCACUUGUUAAAGAACUCAUCUCUUAGGGCAGAGGCUCUCAGAGACAAUAACAGUGGCCACAUGCAGCCACCAGGGAAUUCAUUGCAGCCACAAGACAAAAACUUGCUCUGAUUGUUCAGUUCUGUUUUGACUUAAACUGUCAAAACUGUGGCCACCAUUAAUUUACUGUGAUGGCAUGUGUCACAGCUGCUCGCCCGAGAGCCACUGGUUAGCCCUGUCUCUCUUUUAGGCACUGGGAGCAGGAGGUCUCAAGCUGCAGAGUAAUGUACCAAGUCAAGUAGUCUGCAAAGCCCUGCUAACAUUGCACACUGGUAUUGUCUCUGUGAUAUUUCAAAGUGCUUUGAGGUGCAACAGUCUGCAGGAAACACCAGGUU